UCUCUCCCCUCUCUCUUUGUGUGUGUGUGUGUGUGUGUGUGUGUGUGUGAGAGAGAGAGAGAGAGAGAGAGAGAGUCUGUGUGUGAUGAACAUAAUUCUAAAUUUGUGAAUUCAUGCAAAUUUAACAUGUUAAUAUG